rnacentral:rRNA from 1 species
UACGUAGGGUGCAAGCGUUGUCCGGAAUUAUUGGGCGUAAAGAGCUCGUAGGCGGUCUGUCGCGUCGGCUGUGAAAACUCGGGGCUCAACCCCGAGCCUGCAGUCGAUACGGGCAGACUAGAGUGCUGUAGGGGAGACUGGAAUUCCUGGUGUAGCGGUGAAAUGCGCAGAUAUCGAGAGGAACACCUGCGGCGAAGGCGGGUUGCUGGGCUGAUACUGACGCUGAGGCGCGAAAGCCAGGGGAGCGAACGGG